CAUAGGUUAAUGAGGCGAACCGGGGGAACUGAAACAUCUAAGUACCCCGAGGAAAAGAAAUCAACCGAGAUUCCCCCAGUAGCGGCGAGCGAACGGGGAGCAGCCCAGAGCCUGAAUCAGUGUGUGUGUUAGUGGAAGCGUCUGGAAAGGCGCGCGAUACAGGGUGACAGCCCCGUACACAAAAAUGCACAUACUGUGAGCUCGAUGAGUAGGGCGGGACACGUGGUAUCCUGUCUGAAUAUGGGGGGACCAUCCUCCAAGGCUAAAUACUCCUGACUGACCGAUAGUGAACCAGUACCGUGAGGGAAAGGCGAAAAGAACCCCGGCGAGGGGAGUGAAAAAGAACCUGAAACCGUGUACGUACAAGCAGUGGGAGCACGCUUAGGCGUGUGACUGCGUACCUUUUGUAUAAUGGGUCAGCGACUUAUAUUCUGUAGCAAGGUUAACCGAAUAGGGGAGCCGAAGGGAAACCGAGUCUUAACUGGGCGUUAAGUUGCAGGGUAUAGACCCGAAACCCGGUGAUCUAGCCAUGGGCAGGUUGAAGGUUGGGUAACACUAACUGGAGGACCGAACCGACUAAUGUUGAAAAAUUAGCGGAUGACUUGUGGCUGGGGGUGAAAGGCCAAUCAAACCGGGAGAUAGCUGGUUCUCCCCGAAAGCUAUUUAGGUAGCGCCUCGUGAAUUCAUCUCCGGGGGUAGAGCACUGUUUCGGCAAGGGGGUCAUCCCGACUUACCAACCCGAUGCAAACUGCGAAUACCGGAGAAUGUUAUCACGGGAGACACACGGCGGGUGCUAACGUCCGUCGUGAAGAGGGAAACAACCCAGACCGCCAGCUAAGGUCCCAAAGUCAUGGUUAAGUGGGAAACGAUGUGGGAAGGCCCAGACAGCCAGGAUGUUGGCUUAGAAGCAGCCAUCAUUUAAAGAAAGCGUAAUAGCUCACUGGUCGAGUCGGCCUGCGCGGAAGAUGUAACGGGGCUAAACCAUGCACCGAAGCUGCGGCAGCGACGCUGAUGCGUUGUUGGGUAGGGGAGCGUUCUGUAAGCCUGUGAAGGUGUGCUGUGAGGCAUGCUGGAGGUAUCAGAAGUGCGAAUGCUGACAUAAGUAACGAUAAAGCGGGUGAAAAGCCCGCUCGCCGGAAGACCAAGGGUUCCUGUCCAACGUUAAUCGGGGCAGGGUGAGUCGACCCCUAAGGCGAGGCCGAAAGGCGUAGUCGAUGGGAAACAGGUUAAUAUUCCUGUACUUGGUGUUACUGCGAAGGGGGGACGGAGAAGGCUAUGUUGGCCGGGCGACG
rnacentral:rRNA from 1 species